GAUGAACGCUGGCGGCGUGCCUAAUACAUGCAAGUCGAGCGAACAGACGAGGAGCUUGCUCCUCUGACGUUAGCGGCGGACGGGUGAGUAACACGUGGAUAACCUACCUAUAAGACUGGGAUAACUUCGGGAAACCGGAGCUAAUACCGGAUAAUAUAAUGAACCGCAUGGUUCAAUAGUGAAAGACGGUUUUGCUGUCACUUAUAGAUGGAUCCGCGCCGCAUUAGCUAGUUGGUAAGGUAACGGCUUACCAAGGCGACGAUGCGUAGCCGACCUGAGAGGGUGAUCGGCCACACUGGAACUGAGACCCGGUCCAGACUCCUACGGGAGGCAGCAGUAGGGAAUCUUCCGCAAUGGGCGAAAGCCUGACGGAGCAACGCCGCGUGAGUGAUGAAGGUCUUCGGAUCGUAAAACUCUGUUAUUAGGGAAGAACAAAUGUGUAAGUAACUAUGCACGUCUUGACGGUACCUAAUCAGAAAGCCACGGCUAACUACGUG
rnacentral:rRNA from 1 species